UGGGGAAUUUUGCACAAUGGGGGAAACCCUGAUGCAGCGACGCCGCGUGAUUUAGAAGGCCUUCGGGUUGUAAAAAUCUUUUCUAUGGGAAGAAAAUGACAGUACCAUAGGAAUAAGGACCGGCUAAUUACGUGCCAGCAGCCGCGGUAAUACGUAAGGUCCGAGCGUUGUCCGGAAUCAUUGGGCGUAAAGGGUACGUAGGCGGGUAAGCAAGUUAGAAGUUAAAUCCUAUAGCUCAACUAUAGUAAGCUUUUAAAACUGCUCAUCUUGAGUUAUGGAAGGGAAAGUGGAAUUCCUAGUGUAGCGGUGAAAUGCGCAGAUAUUAGGAGGAAUACCGGUGGCGAAGGCGACUUUCUGGCCAUAACCUGACGCUGAGGUACGAAAGCGUGGGUAGCAAACAGG
rnacentral:rRNA from 1 species